AUUACUAAGCGGAGGAAAAGAAAUUAACAAAGAUUGCCUUAGUAAGGGCGACUGAACCGGCAAGAGCUCGAAAUUGAAAUCGCGAGUUCAACGAACUCUCGAAUUGUAAUCAAGUUUGCCUAAAUACGCAUGUAUCUUUAAAUGAAUUGAAUGUCAUGCCAAAGAGGGUGCAAGCCCCGUAAAAGACACGUGCGAAAAGGGAAGCUAAAAAAGAGUCGAGUUGCUUGGAACUGCAGCUCAAAGCGGGAGAUAUGAAUCUUCCAAAGCUAAAUACUGAUGGGAGACCGAUAGCGCACAAGUACUGUGAAGGAAAGAUGAAAAGCACUUUGAAAAGAGAGUGAAAUAGUUCUGAAAUCGUUGAGAAGGAAGCGGUACAAACUGACGGACAGAGAGAUGAGUUACGCAGCGACCCGCUGCGAAAAUACUACCUAACUGUCGGGCAAAAUCGAGUUGCGACCUCUAAAAAAGGUGCAAGCCUUGUAGAGAGGAAACAGCUCGAGGGACUACGGUGAUUUUGCCAAAAUGGUUUGUACUGUCCCGUCUUGAAACACGGACCAAGGAGUCUAACUAAUAUGCGAGUGUGCGAGUGAAAAACUCAUACGCGAAAUGAAAGUAAAAGGUGCGCAGCCACAAGCAGCAGCAUCGACCGACCCGGCAAGAAGGGUUUGAGUAGGAGCAUAUUGGCUAGGACCCGAAAGAUGGUGAACUAUGCCUGAGUAGGGUGAAGUCAGGGGAAACCCUGAUGGAGGCUCGAAGCGAUACUGACGUGCAAAUCGUUCGUCAAACUUGGGUAUAGGGGCGAAAGACUAAUCGAACCAUCUAGUAGCUGGUUCCCUCCGAAGUUUCCCUCAGGAUAGCAGGAACAAAAACGCAGUUUUAUCAGGUAAAGCGAAUGAUUAGAGGCAUCGGGGUGGUAUUAACCUUGACCUAUUCUCAAACUUUAAAUUGGUAAGAACUCUUGGUUAUCUUGAAUGAACUGAGAGACAGAAUGUAAGUUCCUAGUGGGCCAUUUUUGGUAAGCAGAACUGGCGAUGAGGGAUGAACCUAACGUCGAGUUAAGGUGCCCAACUAUACGCUCAUCAGAUACCACAAAAGGUGUUGAUUCAUCUGAACAGCAGGACGGUGGACAUAAAAGUCGUCACCCGCUAAGGAGUGUGUCAUGACUCACCUGCCGAAUGAAUUAGCCCUGAAAAUGGAUGGCGCUAAAGCGUAUGACCGAUACUCGACCAUCGGCGCAAAAGCAAGCACCGAUGAGUAGGAGGGCGUAGACGUUGUUAGAAGCCUCUGGCGUGAGCCUGGGUGGAACAGCGUUUAGUGCAGAUCUUGGUGGUAGUAGCAAAUAGCCAAUUGGAAACGUUGGCGGCCGAAGUGGAGAAGGGUUCCCUGAGAACAGCAAUUGGUCAGGGGUUAGGCGGUCCUAAGUUCCUGGUUAAACCCGUAUAAGGCGCUCUAGAGCGCGGAACGAAAGGGAAUCAGGUUGAAAUUCCUGACCCUUAGUUAGAUUCGUGGCAACACAAACUAGCUCGGAGACGUCAGCGCGUGCUCCCGGAAGAGUUUUCUUUUCUUCUUAACAAGCAGGCGGCCUUGAAAAUGGAUUACCCAGAGAGAAGGCUGUAAGCUUGGCAGAGCAUCUCGCCUUUUAGAGAUGUCGGGUGCGCUCGCGAUGACCCUUGAAAAUCCGAGCCAGAACAAUCUAACUGAGGCCGUACCCAUAACCGC
rnacentral:rRNA from 1 species